UUGAAUUGAAUUCUGAUUGUGACACUUGAGUGCUUUGUGACCUUAGGGAAUAUUUUGAAACUUUGAGUUUCCCUAUUGUAGAGGUGUAAAAUGAGGCUAUCUGUAUUUUCCCUGUAGGCUUAAGUGUGAAGAUUGAAUGGGGCUAUAAAAAGUCUAUGGUGUGGGGAGUGCCUGACAUCUGGACGGCUUCCCUCGAUGGAGGUAACUGGAUACUGACUCUGUGGGAGAGCAGCGCUGGAAAGAGCAUGCUCAGGUGUGGACUUACUCCAGACUCAAGAGUCCUCCUUACGGCCCCAGUUGCCACCUCCCUCUAGUGACCCUCAGCCCUGCGGAGCCAGCUGGCACUCUCUCCCACCUGGGCACCUACUACCGUCGGUUGGGCAGGCACUUUGGAGGGCACAAAAAUGAGUGAGAUGCCGUUCCAUCCUGCAAGGGGGUGACCAGGACUUAAAUUCUUACAA